GAACCUCACAACUCGUACUAUCCCUUUGCACAGCCAGCAGGUUAACCAGGUUCAGUCACUUCACUCCAGUGCAGUGAAGUGCAGGCAGGACUAAAUACAGGCCUAAGCUUAGUUUCAGGUUUAUCUUCAGUUCAGAGUUCAGAACUUCAGACACAGGUUGAGAAAGAAAAGAAGCAGCAAUGUCAUCUGCAACUCUGCUCAAAUCCUCUGUCCUUCCCAAGAAGGCCGCCGAGUGGGGCGGCACGCGUCAGCUCCCCGCCCCCCGCCCCCCGCCCCCCGCCCGCCGUUCGUCUCCAUGGUCGUCCGCGCCGGCGCCUACGACGACGAGCUCAUCAAAACCGCUAAAACGGUGGCGUCGCCGGGGAGGGGGAUCUUGGCGAUGGACGAGUCGAACGCGACGUGCGGGAAGAGGCUGGCGUCGAUCGGAACAGGCAGGCGUACAGGACGCUGCUGGUGACGGCGCCGGGGCUGGGGCAGUACAUCUCGGGGGCCAUCCUGUUCGAGGAGACGCUGUACCAGUCCACCGUCGACGGCCGGAGGAUCGUCGACGUCCUCGCCGAGCAAGGGAUCGUGCCCGGGAUCAACGUCGACAAGGGCCUCGUCCCGCUGGCAGGGUCCGAUCCCGAGUCUUUGGUGCCAGGGGCUCGACGGCCUCGCGACACGCGAGGCCGCCUACUACCAGCAGGGUGCCCGCUUCGUCGAGUGGCGCACCGUCGUCUCCAUCCCCAAUGCCGGCCCCUCCGCCCUCGCCGUCAAGGAGGCUGCCUAGGGCCUCGCCCGCUACGCCACCAUCUCCCAGGAGGACGGGUUGGUGCCGAUCGUGGAGCCGGAGAUCCUGCUCGACGGCGAGCACAGGGUCGAGAGGACGUUCGAGGUGGCGCAGAAGGUGUGGGCGGACACCUUCUUCCACAUGUCGGAGAACAACGUGAUGCUCGAGGGGAUCCUCCUCAAGCCGAGCAUGGUGACCCCGGGCGCCGAGAGCAAGGACGGCGCGGCGACGCCGGAGCAGGUCGCCGCCGCGUCCCGCCGGCGGUGCCCGGCGUCAUGUUCCUCUCCGGCGGCCAGUCGGAGGUGGAGGCGACGCGGAAACCUCAACGCCAUGAACCAGGCGGCUCCGUCGGCCAACCCGUGGCGGUGGCGCGUCUCCUUCUCCUACGCCAGGGCGCUGCAGAACACCUGCCUCAAGACGUGGGGCAGCCGGCGGGAGAACGUCGCGGCGGCGCAGGGCGAACUCGCUGGCGCAGCUCGGCAAGUACACCAGCGACGGCGAGGCCGCCGAGGCCAGCGAGGGCAUGUUCGUCAAGAACUACACCUACUGAAAAUAAUUUUCGACUGAAAAACUCUGAACAUACAUAUAUAUUAGUAAGUACAUUGCGAGAAUUAGGAUCACAAGAAGCUUCUCUGAAAACUCUGAACAUGUAUAUAUUAGCACAUCGAGAGAAUGCAUCAUGGUUACUGUAUUUUACAAGGUUUUCUAGAUCACAAGAAGCUUAUCUGAAAACUCCGAAGAUAGAUGCUGCCAAUCUGCUUAGACAUAUGGACAUCGAGAGGAUGCAUCAUGGUUGCUGUAUUUUACAAGGUUUUUCUAGAUCUUUGUUUUUUUGGUUUCAUUAGAUGCUUGGCUCCUCCCAUCUGUACAAGGAUGCUUUGGUAGAUUUGUCGUAAGGUUUUGUAAUGAUCUACGGAUUUGCAUGGUUGCUGCAAAAUUUUGCAUGUAUAUAUACACGACGCUUGAACGUCGAUAUGUAAUAAUAAUGGCUAAUUUUUAAUGAUAUAUCGACUAUGGAGUA